AAAACUAUGAUGAUUCUUAGGAGCGUGGGAACUACAUUACAGAUAGGGCGAUCUUUUGAUGCGGUAAUGUAGUAAUCCUAACCGCAUAUACGUGGUAACAUUCUUUCAUGUUUCUUCCCCCCUUGAUUCAUGUCAAAAACGGAAGGGGGCGCCUGCGUCUCUUAUUUUU
rnacentral:telomerase_RNA from 1 species